rnacentral:siRNA from 1 species
UAAGAGAGUGCCACAUGUCCA